AGAGUUUGAUCCUGGCUCAGGAUGAACGCUAGCGGCAGGCCUAACACAUGCAAGUCGAGGGGUAAAUAGUUUUCGGAUUAUUGAGACCGGCGCACGGGUGCGUAACGCGUAUGCAAUCUACCUUUUACAGGGGAAUAGCCCAGAGAAAUUUGGAUUAAUGCCCCAUGGUAUAAUUGAAUGGCAUCAUUUGAUUAUUAAAGUUCCAACGGUAAAAGAUGAGCAUGCGUCCCAUUAGUUAGUUGGUAAGGUAACGGCUUACCAAGACUAUGAUGGGUAGGGGUCCUGAGAGGGAGAUCCCCCACACUGGUACUGAGACACGGACCAGACUCCUACGGGAGGCAGCAGUGAGGAAUAUUGGACAAUGGGCGCAAGCCUGAUCCAGCCAUGCCGCGUGCAGGAAGAAGCAUCUAUGGUGUGUAAACUGCUUUUGCACAGGAAGAAACACUCGGUCGUGACCGAGCUGACGGUACUGGAGAAUAA
rnacentral:rRNA from 1 species